rnacentral:rRNA from 1 species
GGGUUGUGAGGUUAAGCGACUAAGCGUACACGGUGGAUGCCCUGGCAGUCAGAGGCGAUGAAGGACGUGCUAAUCUGCGAAAAGCGUCGGUAAGGUGAUAUGAACCGUUAUAACCGGCGAUGUCCGAAUGGGGAAACCCAGUGUGAUUCGUCACACUAUCGUUAACUGAAUACAUAGGUUAACGAGGCGAACCGGGGGAACUGAAACAUCUAAGUACCCCGAGGAAAAGAAAUCAACCGAGAUUCCCCCAGUAGCGGCGAGCGAACGGGGAGCAGCCCAGAGUCUGAAUCAGCUUGUGUGUUAGUGGAACGGUCUGGAAAGUCCGACGGUACAGGGUGAUAGUCCCGUACACCAAAAUGCACAGGUUGUGAACUCGAAGAGUAGGGCGGGACACGUGGUAUCCUGUCUGAAUAUGGGGGGACCAUCCUCCAAGGCUAAAUACUCCUGACUGACCGAUAGUGAACCAGUACCGUGAGGGAAAGGCGAAAAGAACCCCGGCGAGGGGAGUGAAAAAAGAACCUGAAACCGUGUACGUACAAGCAGUGGGAGCACCUUCGGGUGUGACUGCGUACCUUUUGUAUAAUGGGUCAGCGACUUAUAUUCUGUAGCAAGGUUAACCGUAUAGGGGAGCCGCAGGGAAACCGAGUCUUAACUGGGCGUUAAGUUGCAGGGUAUAGACCCGAAACCCGGUGAUCUAGCCAUGGGCAGGUUGAAGGUUGGGUAACACUAACUGGAGGACCGAACCGACUAAUGUUGAAAAAUUAGCGGAUGACUUGUGGCUGGGGGUGAAAGGCCAAUCAAACCGGGAGAUAGCUGGUUCUCCCGAAAGCUAUUUAGGUAGCGCCUCGUGAAUUCAUCUUCGGGGGUAGAGCACUGUUUCGGCUAGGGGGUCAUCCCGACUUACCAACCCGAUGCAAACUACGAAUACCGAAGAAUGUUAUCACGGGAGACACACGGCGGGUGCUAACGUCCGUCGUGAAGAGGGAAACAACCCAGACCGCCAGCUAAGGUCCCAAAGUCAUGGUUAAGUGGGAAACGAUGUGGGAAGGCACAGACAGCCGGGAUGUUGGCUUAGAAGCAGCCAUCAUUUAAAGAAAGCGUAAUAGCUCACUGGUCGAGUCGGCCUGCGCGGAAGAUGUAACGGGGCUAAACCAUGCACCGAAGCUGCGGCAGCGACACUAUGUGUUGUUGGGUAGGGGAGCGUUCUGUAAGCCUGCGAAGGUGACCUGUGAGGGUUGCUGGAGGUAUCAGAAGUGCGAAUGCUGACAUAAGUAACGAUAAAGCGGGUGAAAAGCCCGCUCGCCGGAAGACCAAGGGUUCCUGUCCAACGUUAAUCGGGGCAGGGUGAGUCGACCCCUAAGGCGAGGCCGAAAGGCGUAGUCGAUGGGAAACAGGUUAAUAUUCCUGUACUUGGUGUUACUGCGAAGGGGGGACGGAGAAGGCUAUGUUAGCCGGGCGACGGUUGUCCCGGUUUAAGCAUGUAGGCUGGUUAUCCAGGCAAAUCCGGAUAAUCAAGGCUGAGGUGUGAUGACGAGGCACUACGGUGCUGAAGUAACAAAUGCCCUGCUUCCAGGAAAAGCCUCUAAGCAUCAGGUAACAUCAAAUCGUACCCCAAACCGACACAGGUGGUCAGGUAGAGAAUACCAAGGCGCUUGAGAGAACUCGGGUGAAGGAACUAGGCAAAAUGGUGCCGUAACUUCGGGAGAAGGCACGCUGGUGUGUAGGUGAAGUCCCUGCGGAUGGAGCUGAGACCAGUCGAAGAUACCAGCUGGCUGCAACUGUUUAUUAAAAACACAGCACUGUGCAAACACGAAAGUGGACGUAUACGGUGUGACGCCUGCCCGGUGCCGGAAGGUUAAUUGAUGGGGUUAUCCGUAAGGAGAAGCUCUUGAUCGAAGCCCCGGUAAACGGCGGCCGUAACUAUAACGGUCCUAAGGUAGCGAAAUUCCUUGUCGGGUAAGUUCCGACCUGCACGAAUGGCGUAAUGAUGGCCAGGCUGUCUCCACCCGAGACUCAGUGAAAUUGAACUCGCUGUGAAGAUGCAGUGUACCCGCGGCAAGACGGAAAGACCCCGUGAACCUUUACUAUAGCUUGACACUGAACAUUGAGCCUUGAUGUGUAGGAUAGGUGGGAGGCUUUGAAGCGUGGACGCCAGUCUGCGUGGAGCCAACCUUGAAAUACCACCCUUUAAUGUUUGAUGUUCUAACGUUGGCCCCUGACCGGGGUUGCGGACAGUGUCUGGUGGGUAGUUUGACUGGGGCGGUCUCCUCCCAAAGCGUAACGGAGGAGCACGAAGGUUAGCUAAUCUGGUCGGACAUCAGGAGGUUAGUGCAAUGGCAUAAGCUAGCUUGACUGCGAGCGUGACGGCGCGAGCAGGUGCGAAAGCAGGUCAUAGUGAUCCGGUGGUUCUGAAUGGAAGGGCCAUCGCUCAACGGAUAAAAGGUACUCCGGGGAUAACAGGCUGAUACCGCCCAAGAGUUCAUAUCGACGGCGGUGUUUGGCACCUCGAUGUCGGCUCAUCACAUCCUGGGGCUGAAGUAGGUCCCAAGGGUAUGGCUGUUCGCCAUUUAAAGUGGUACGCGAGCUGGGUUUAGAACGUCGUGAGACAGUUCGGUCCCUAUCUGCCGUGGGCGCUGGAGAAUUGAGGGGGGCUGCUCCUAGUACGAGAGGACCGGAGUGGACGCAUCACUGGUGUUCGGGUUGUCAUGCCAAUGGCACUGCCCGGUAGCUAAAUGCGGAAGAGAUAAGUGCUGAAAGCAUCUAAGCACGAAACUUGCCCCGAGAUGAGUUCUCCCUGAGACUUUAAGUCUCCUGAAGGAACGUUGAAGACGACGACGUUGAUAGGCCGGGUGUGUAAGCGCAGCGAUGCGUUGAGCUAACCGGUACUAAUGAACCGUGAGGCUUAACCUUACAACGCCGAAG